AGUAACUCAGUGGGACAGGCAACAUCUCUGGAGUGAAGGAAUCGGUGACGUUUCGUGUCGAGGCCCUUCUUCAGUCUAGCUUUCUAGUUGUGGCGGAAGGAAGAUUAGACUGACAGAUCAUUGGUGGAGAUGAAAACCUUGGCUGGGAACCUGGGGCUCACCAAAAUUGUUCCCAAUUGGGCUCCGCUUCUCCUAAGGCCAGCCCUGUGGGUGUCGACAAACAAUGGCUGCCUCUGCCAAUGGAAGACUCUGCCGGCUGAUCUCUCCUGCAUGUUUGAACUUAUUUGAGGCCUGUUACAAUGCUGGCUUUCAGCUCCCAAUGGGUGUUCAACAACAACAACAGCAACCAUGCCAUUAAAUGCAGAAACCAGAGACUUGUUGUUCAAUUUGCCGUGAACACAACCUUUGCUACAAUGCCACUUUGCAAGAAGACUUGGCGUUAAUUAAUGCAGAAACAAAUUGCUGGAAAAGCUCAGUGGGUCAGCUAGUAUCUGUGGAAGCAGGAGGAAGGUCAGCUUUCCUCGAUGGAACUGCUAAUUAUUGGCUGUAACUUUUCUGCUGAACGGAUAAAUGGGAAUUUAGUGGAACCCCAUUACACAUUGUUACAACUAGAAUGCUGAUUUGCAAGUAUUGAGGUUGGAACAUAUUUUAUGAUUGACACUAAAAUGAACACAAUUAUAAGGUAAAUGAUUGCAGGUUAAUUUAACCACAAACAUUUUUUUUUCAUACACUUUAUUGAAUAAUUAUUUCUUAUGGAAAGAAUUAGAAAUGAAUGAGGCAAAGGGAAG